UGCCGCAUUGGCGGACUUGAGUAAUCUAAGCUGACACAACAGCAAAGACGAAGCAACCAGCAAAAAUGGUUCGGAUCAUUUUGAAGUUGAUUGUGUGGGUCAUGUGAUUAAAUUAUACCAAGAUGGACUGGCGCAAUCAAAACGCAAUCGAGUUAAUCUUGUUGAUAAAUUUUUAGAGAUCAUUAUAAUUUUCAUAUAAAUAGAGCCAAUUUUUUAAACAAUUUUCAUUCCAAGUUUAUAGUUUCAAUUCAGACUAAUUUGUCAAUUUUAAAAGUAAAUCAACCUAAACAAUCAACUCAAAAGUGAUUCGAACCAUUGCUGCUCUUUGCCUCAGCUCGAGUCACUCCAGUCCGUCAAUGUGCCAAAACUGGUAAGUAAACGGUUUUCAGUUAGCAAAAAUAUCGAAAUGAUAAUUGCAAUAUCUAUCUCAUUCAAGGAUCUUCCGGAACUAUUGCAAAUGUCAAUGUUGAACCCUGUGAUUCUGAUCGAUGUGCCUUCAAGCCAAACACCAAAGUUGCCAUCAAAGGUGAACUCACCACAACCAGCACUGCCGCAAACCCAACUGACUCUGUCCAAAUUGAAGUAGGCGGUAACUUCAUUGAAUACCCUGGUAUCUCCAAGGAUGCCUGUGAAUACUUUUCCUGUCCAUUGAAAGCUGAUGCCACAAACCUCUACAAAAUUGAAGUCCAAUCCAAUGACUGGCUUCCACCCAUGGAUACCAAAAUACAAUUCCACGUUUACGAAUCUGAAGGUGGUGCUGAAUUGGCUUGUAUUGAAGCUGAUAUUGCUAUCAUUGCUGCAUAAAUGACUAUUGAACAAAUGAUCAAAUCAAUGAAAUAAAUGAAUUUUACUAUCGCAAACUAAUUUACAAUUUGUAUUUCUUAUUGAAUGACAAUGUUUCCAACUAAUUGGUUUCGUUGGUAAUCGUUUAAAUUGUCAAAUGAUUUCAAGUUUAUGUGGGACAUCCGUUUGAUCACUUUAUCUCGUGCUAAUAAAUAAGAAAUCUGCAAUCAUGACAGAAUUAUACAAAUUAAAAAUAAAUUGAAUAGAAUUAAAGUUCCAUGAUUUUCGCAUGCGAAUCGAUUUUGAUUUUUGCUAAAAAUUGUCAUAUGUUUAUUGCAAACUUAUACAAACUUAUCAAACAAAAUUGGUUACUUUUCUUGCUAGUAGUAAGUAGGGGAUAUUGAUAACUUAAGGGGAGGCCUUUACGCGCGAAGAAAAUAAGGGGAAAAAUGGGAAAACAAUAACAACAACCAAUAAACAUAGAAAUACUUUAUACGAUAUAUUUUUUGAAACAAAAUCAUAUUUUUUACAGUUUUAAGUUUAUCUUUUCCAUCCAUUAUCUCAACAGCUUUUUUAAUGCUGUUCAUUACACAGUUAUGCUCGUGAGGCUUCUGCGUUCCAGAUGCUAUUUCACCACAUCUAAUGUUUAAUUUUUUAGCUAUUAAUUUUCCGAUAGUACCUGGGCUGACUUCCAAAAAAACGAAAGGGUCGUAAAUUACCAUUUUAUAUGAUGUAUCGCGGUAAAUAAUUACCAAACGACAAUGUGAACCAUCAUACUCAAUUCCAUUAAAACUAGAAGUUAUUAUCACUAAUUUCUCUCCAUUUUUUGUACACUUCCGGGCUUCUUUCACCACAGCUGAGGGUGCACAAUACAGAGCCGAUUCAGGUUCGCCAGAUGCAGCACCAUAGAUUUUUGACAUUUUAAAGUUUUUACAUGAACAAAAUUUUUUAAAUAACGAAAACUUAGAACUAUUUUUGAUAACACUUUCUCCAUCUACGAAAUAGUUACACAAAAGAGAUAGCACUGUUUCAAA